AGCAGCCGCGGUAAUUCCAGCUCCAAUAGCGUAUAUUAAAGUUGUUGCAGUUAAAAAGCUCGUAGUUGAACUUCGGGGUUUACCCAUUGGUCAGGCUUAAUUGUCUGCACUGGUGAGAUGAAUCUCUACCUUCUGAGGAACUUUCAUGCCAUUUAUUUGGUGUGAUGGGAAAUCAGGACUGUUACUUUGAAAAAAUUGAGUGUUUAAAGCAGGCUAACGUCUGAAUACAUUAGCAUGGAAUAAUGAAGUAGGACGGACUGAUUCUAUUUCGUUGGUUUCUAGGAUCACCGUAAUGAUUAAUAGGGAUAGUUGGGGGCAU
rnacentral:rRNA from 1 species